rnacentral:lncRNA from 1 species
UCUAGUCUAGGUGGUGUUUGAUUUAGAGGAAAAGCUUGCAGAACCUGCAACAGUGAAGGCCAGUCCUUCCUAAGCCCCUGAGUGGGUUCUCGUUAAUGUCAGGUGCCCGUGGGCAGCUUUGGACCACCUAGCAUGAGCACCAGCUCAUUGCUGCCGGGACGGCAUAGUAUCCCAACAUCCAGAUGAUGUCAGACUCUUCUUUGUAAUAAUUUUUUCCACAUAGAAAUAUAAAUGGAAAUGGUUUUGUUGGUUUUUUAAUUAAUUUAUUUGUUUUUACUAUUUCCCUUUAAUCAAUGACCAAAGCUGUUAAAACUGUUUUAAGUCAUUUGACUAUUCUAGUUAUUUGUAGUUUAAGAAAAAAAGUAACCACCUUGGACUUGGUUACAUGUAGUGAUCAAGAUUCUUGGUAGCAACACCCUGAGCAAAGUACCUUUAUCUACCUUUGUUAAAGAUCAGUAUCUGAAAAUAACACUUUUUGGGGACCCUAGUGUCAUGUGAUCUCUGUU